UUGCUGCUUUUGAAGUGAAAUUCCUUUGAGGUGAUUUGUGCUGGAGAUUAGCAAAAGUAAGUAGUUGAGUGUUUGACUGGCACAGAGAUAUUUUUACAAUGAAUUACAGUAUUUGAAGGCUCUGUAGUAAGUCCCAUGCAAUAAAGCUAUCUACUGUAUUGCUUUCACUGUGACUGUCUGUAUACUUUGACCUAGACUGAUUUGCCAUUUUCUUGUCACACUAUGUCCUAAAGCCUCAGCAGCUUUAUUUAAGGAAUUAUUUGGGACCUUUAUCAAAAUUCCUGUCAUGCAAACCCAGUCCUCAUAAGACUGUGGUGUAUACAUGAACUCUCAUGGACAAAGCCUCUCCUGUCUGCUCACUCUUCUUCACAGCUCUUAUGUUUCAUGCUAGAAUGGGGUACCUGCAGUGACAAACAUUGUGACAGAGAAAGUGUCUUACCCUGCACCUCCCCAUAUACUCCAUUUGCCACAUCUCUAGAAUGUGAAGGCUGUGGAUGUGAGCUCAGCUGGAUUUGAGCAGGUGAAAAGAGAAGGCCUAGAGCUGAAAACUGCAGAUCCAGAGGUCACCACUGGGAUGAAAGGAAGGUCUGAGGCAGCAGGAAACUGGCAGGAAGAUCCUGCAAACAGAUACCACCUUUUCAGACUGAGCAGCAACCUCCCUCAUGGAUGGAACACACAGAGAGAGCCCAACCUCACCCUCAGAAUAAGAGAAACUUCUUUCAGUGCACUACCCUGGGAGCACCUCAGAGACCUUUGGGGCAAGGGGACACUGACCCCAUGAAGAAAGUAUCUCACAGAGGCACAGAACUUGGACCAAGCCCUGAAGAAACGUCCCUUGUCACCUUCCCCAGGGUCAGACCACAUCAGUUUGACUGACACUGCCACAGCAAGAAGCUGGAAGGACUCACGAGUGAAACACUUACUGGGAUGGUCCAUCCUGAACUCUGGGGAAUGCCAGUCAAAAACAGAGCCAACUGCAGCAACAGGGAGGGAUGUUGGAAAUGUACAGAGCACAGAGGGCAAGGAUGAUGAGCAUGAGGUCUCUCUGAACUGGCACCAAGACUUUUCCCUUCACACUGAUGCAUCUGAGCAGAGGCCGGCCGCAUGGUGAAGUCGUGUUCGUCGACCCUGAGAAGCUGCUCCGUCUUUCCUUUCCAGGCUUUGGUCAGGUCGCGAUUCUUCUUAAAGAUGUGGCUGCAAAAGACGGCAAUGGCAUUGCUCCAUGUCUCUGUGCCCGAGUGCCACAGCUGCCAGCCCAGCUGCGGAGCCACAGGAGCAGGGUCUCUGCAGGCACAAUCCCAGGGACUGUGGGGAGACUGCCAGCACCAAAACAGACCCAGAGCUGCCUUUCCACAGCAUCAGUCAGACCUUUGUGCCCCACAGGCAGCCCUGCUUCCUCUGCCCCUCUCCAAGGACGUGGUGCUCCCUCUGCCCCAGCCACACCGGCUCCAGGGAGACACAAGGCAGAGAGCAUCUCACGGGGAGCUGCACGCAGUGAAUGCUGCAGCUGAGAGCAAGCACCAGUGGAGGCAGCUGGGGGCCCCACGUUACCUGGCCAGGAUUUGGCCAGGUACCAAGGCAACACUGUCAUAAAAAAUCUCUUUUCAGUGCUGGUCACGCAAUGUCAUGCACUACUUGGAAACUGCCCCAUUAACUUCACCAAUUCAGUGCCAGCAGUUUGUGUGGACAGUGGGUCUUCUGGCUUUCAGCAGCAACAAAACCUCCCCAAAACAGCAGGAAGAGAGGAGUUUUAUCUAACGAAGCCUUCAGUCCCUCACCUCACUUUUCUGAACAUUAAGUCACAGGCUGAACAACUUCCCCACAGAAUGGUAGCAGAGAGCUCCCCCAGAACUCGCAGGACCAGCCGCACCCAGAGCUCCGCAGGGAAGGACCUCUGCACCCCGGGGACCUCUGUGCAAUGUCCAAGGAAGAAACUACAGCACUGAAGGAGUUCUGCACCUGCAAACCCAAGCAAUAGUCUUGAAGUCUAUAUAAAGAUCUUCAGAUCAGGCUGAUUUAUCACCUUAGUGGACACAAAAUAUCAAACUUACCAACUGUAGACUCCCCAAUAUAGGGAUAAAUUUUCUUUAAUAAGAAACAUGUACUGUAGAAUUUACUUUGUUUCUUACAGUAAGUCAGCAAGAGAAAUACUAAGCAGAAAAUGUGAUGAAAUAAUUUAAAAGAGCAUUCUUUUAAUUUCUCUUACAUGAUUAGGAAACCAGCCUAGGAACUAGUUUUAGUUUCAGUUUUCUAGAAUUAAUUAUUUUAGUAAUUUAGUAAUUGGUAAUUUACUAUUCAUUGUUGGUUUAGGGACAACUAAUUUUUUUCUUUAAAAUAAAUGUAAUUGAAUAUUGAAAUAUAAAAAAUUGAAAUAUAAUUGAAUAGGAAAAUUAAAAUAUUAACAACACUGCUCCAUACACAUCUUUAUGUUGCAACAUUGCAGAAUUCUCUGUAUUUAAACUGUCAUUCUCAUUCGACAAUCCCUCAAAUCUGAUUUUAUAAAUUUUUAAAUAACUACAUUGCAUAGGAAUUGUAUAUGUGUGUGUAUAUAUAUAUAUGGCAUAUAGUUCCUCAGAUCCUACUUAGAUGGAAAAUUGUUCAUUUCGUUUAUUACACCACAGAAUACUAAAUAGUAUUGCUAUUCUUUGUAGGGUAUUUGUAAAAACAAUUUUAGAACUGCUUUGACUUCCACUCUGUUACAACUCAUGAAAAUAUCAGCACUGUAGAACUUUUCUCCAAGUUCAAAUAAAGUACAAAACUUUUAAAGCAGGGAAAUUUUUACUUCAGGGCAAAUUGAUAUUUAAAGAAGGAUUUACACUAUUUUAUUACUUCAAAGUAUGCAAUCUUUACUACACAGAAAGGUUUGCAAGGAAGUGCUACUGUUCAAUCCUCCACAUUCCUCAGAAUAUAGACUUUGGAAUAUUUUCAGAGUUCAAUGAAAUAUUCAAUAAUUGAGUUUCUGUGAACAUCAGUGGUAAAGUUUCAGUUGUCUAUAGGAUUUCACUAUGAGGCCCUGGCUGUUUCAGCUUUUUAACAUUUACGUCACUAAAAGCAUAUGCCACUGUAUUUUUUUAAUAAGUAGUGUAAAUCUGAUAGCAUAUCUUUGCUUCCAAUUUAUCAUGUUUCUUUUCAAAACAUUAAAGUAACAACACUCCCUAUAAAAGUGUUGAAUGAUAAACCAAAAAGUCCGCAAAAAUAAAUGAAAAUUUGAAGUUUACAGCCACAAUGAAACCAUUUAAUAAAAUGGAUUAACCCAAUUUAAUUUUGAGCCCUUCAAACAAUGAAUAGUCUUGUAAAAUAUAACUGCCACUGGAUGACAUAACCACAAAAAAGGAUAACAUACUGUGGACUGUCUGGCAGGUUUGGAAGAUUAUCUUUUCUAAUGUAAACCUCUAGACAAAUCUCAGCAGCGGUAAAUCUAAUAAACUUUACUAAGACCUUUAA